rnacentral:rRNA from 1 species
GAUGAACGCUGGCGGCGUGCUUAACACAUGCAAGUCGAACGGAAAGGCCCAAGCUUGCUUGGGUACUCGAGUGGCGAACGGGUGAGUAACACGUGGGUGAUCUGCCCUGCACUUCGGGAUAAGCCUGGGAAACUGGGUCUAAUACCGGAUAGGACCACUUCUUGGAUGUUGUGGUGGAAGGUUUUUUCGGUGUGGGAUGAGCUCGCGGCCUAUCAGCUUGUUGGUGGGGUAAUGGCCUACCAAGGCGUCGACGGGUAGCCGGCCUGAGAGGGUGUACGGCCACAUUGGGACUGAGAUACGGCCCAGACUCCUACGGGAGGCAGCAGUGGGGAAUAUUGCACAAUGGGCGCAAGCCUGAUGCAGCGACGCCGCGUGGGGGAUGACGGCCUUCGGGUUGUAAACUCCUUUCGCUAGGGACGAAGCGUUUUGUGACGGUACCUGGAGAAGAAGCACCGGCUAACUACGUG